rnacentral:rRNA from 1 species
AUCCCUGGCUCAGGAUGAACGCUAGCGGCAGGCUUAACACAUGCAAGUCGAGGGGUAUAGUUCUUCGGAAUUAGAGACCGGCGCACGGGUGCGUAACGCGUAUGCAAUCUACCUUUUGCAGAGGGAUAGCCCAGAGAAAUUUGGAUUAAUACCUCAUAGUAUAGCAGUUUCGCAUGAAACCACUAUUAAAGUCACAACGGCAAAAGAUGAGCAUGCGUCCCAUUAGCUAGUUGGUAAGGUAACGGCUUACCAAGGCUACGAUGGGUAGGGGUCCUGAGAGGGAGAUCCCCCACACUGGUACUGAGACACGGACCAGACUCCUACGGGAGGCAGCAGUGAGGAAUAUUGGACAAUGGGCGCAAGCCUGAUCCAGCCAUGCCGCGUGCAGGAUGACGGUCCUAUGGAUUGUAAACUGCUUUUGUACAGGAAGAAACACUCCCUCGUGAGGGAGCUUGACGGUACUGUAAGAAUAAGGAUUCGGCUAAA